rnacentral:tRNA from 1 species
UCCUAAAUGACCGAGAAUAAGUAUUAGACUUUUAAUUUAAUUACGGUAAUUUAUUUACCUUUAGGAA